GAACUCUGGUAUUGAUUGGUGCUUUGCAUCAUGAUUUACAUUUGAGUGAGUGGCGAACUGGUGAGUAACACGUGGGAAACCUGCCCAGAAGCGGGGGAGAACACCUGGAAACAGAGGCUAAUACCGCAUAACAACUUGGACCGCAUGGUCCGAGUUUGAAAGAUGGCUUCGGCUAUCACUUUUGGAUGGUCCCGCGGCGUAUUAGCUAGAUGGUGGGGUAACGGCUCACCAUGGCAAUGAUACGUAGCCGACCUGAGAGGGUAAUCGGCCACAUUGGGACUGAGACACGGCCCAAACUCCUACGGGAGGCAGCAGUAGGGAAUCUUCCACAAUGGACGAAAGUCUGAUGGAGCAACGCCGCGUGAGUGAAGAAGGGUUUCGGCUCGUAAAACUCUGUUGUUAAAGAAGAACAUAUCUGAGAGUAACUGUUCAGGUAUUGACGGUAUUUAACCCAGAAAGCCACGGCUAACUACGUGCCAGCAGCCGCGGUAAUACGUAGGUGGCAAGCGUUGUCCGGAUUUAUUGGGCGUAAAGCGAGCGCAGGCGGUUUUUUAAGUCUGAUGUGAAAGCCUUCGGCUCAACCGAAGAAGUGCAUCGGAAACUGGGAAACUUGAGUGCAGAAGAGGACAGUGGAACUCCAUGUGUAGCGGUGAAAUGCGUAGAUAUAUGGAAGAACACCAGUGGCGAAGGCGGCUGUCUGGUCUGUAACUGACGCUGAGGCUCGAAAGUAUGGGUAGCAAACAGGAUUAGAUACCCUGGUAGUCCAUACCGUAAACGAUGAAUGCUAAGUGUUGGAGGGUUUCCGCCCUUCAGUGCUGCAGCUAACGCAUUAAGCAUUCCGCCUGGGGAGUACGGCCGCAAGGCUGAAACUCAAAGGAAUUGACGGGGGCCCGCACAAGCGGUGGAGCAUGUGGUUUAAUUCGAAGCUACGCGAAGAACCUUACCAGGUCUUGACAUACUAUGCAAAUCUAAGAGAUUAGACGUUCCCUUCGGGGACAUGGAUACAGGUGGUGCAUGGUUGUCGUCAGCUCGUGUCGUGAGAUGUUGGGUUAAGUCCCGCAACGAGCGCAACCCUUAUUAUCAGUUGCCAGCAUUAAGUUGGGCACUCUGGUGAGACUGCCGGUGACAAACCGGAGGAAGGUGGGGAUGACGUCAAAUCAUCAUGCCCCUUAUGACCUGGGCUACACACGUGCUACAAUGGAUGGUACAACGAGUUGCGAACUCGCGAGAGUAAGCUAAUCUCUUAAAGCCAUUCUCAGUUCGGAUUGUAGGCUGCAACUCGCCUACAUGAAGUCGGAAUCGCUAGUAAUCGCGGAUCAGCAUGCCGCGGUGAAUACGUUCCCGGGCCUUGUACACACCGCCCGUCACACCAUGAGGAGUUUGUAACACCCAAAAGUCGGUGG
rnacentral:rRNA from 1 species